AUCUAUGGCCAUGCCAGCCUGAACAAGCCUGAUCCCAUGUAAUCUCAAAAGCUAAGCAGGAUCAGGCUUGGUACUUGGAUGGGAGACCACCUAGGAAGACCAGAUCCUGUAGGUG
rnacentral:rRNA from 1 species